UUUUUUUAUCGAAAGAUAAUUGUAUUUCAUUAGCAGGCAAACAUUACAUGGAUUAAGCCUAAAAUUAUUAGCUACAACAAACUUGAAACAACUAAGGAAAACCCAGCCCACAAUCAGUUCCAAACCCAUAACUCAAAAAAGGCCUAGGAAACUAAAACCUACUAUAGUCCAACCCCAUAUUCUAACCUAGCUAUUGCAGAGAUAAACAAGCAGAGGGCAGCCGCCGACCAAAGGAAGCACCGCUGUCAAGCAUGUUGGGAAAAUCCGGAGACUUUCGAGGACCAAGAAAUGCAGGAAGCCAUACAAGAUACCAAGACCUCAAAGACCAUCC
rnacentral:misc_RNA from 1 species